rnacentral:rRNA from 1 species
UACGUAGGGGGCAAGCGUUGUCCGGAUUUAUUGGGCGUAAAGAGCGUGUAGGCGGCCUGAAAGGUCAGCUGUGAAAACUCGAGGCUCAACCUCGAGACGUCGGUUGAAACCAUCUGGCUAGAGUCCGGAAGAGGGAGAGUGGGAAUUCCCGGUGUAGCGGUGAAAUGCGCAGAUAUCAGGAGGAACACCUAUGCGAAGGCAGCUCGCUGGGACGUAACUGACGCUGAGACGCGAAAGCGUGGGAGCAAACAGG